rnacentral:rRNA from 1 species
UACGUAGGGGGCAAGCGUUGUCCGGAAUUAUUGGGCGUAAAGCGCGUGUAGGCGGUUCGAUUAGUCUGCUGUGAAAGUCGAGGGCUCAACCCUCGAAUGCCGGUGGAUACUGUCGGGCUAGAGUACGGAAGAGGCGAGUGGAAUUCCUGGUGUAGCGGUGAAAUGCGCAGAUAUCAGGAGGAACACCAAUUGCGAAGGCAGCUCGCUGGGACGUUACUGACGCUAAGACGCGAAAGCGUGGGGAGCAAACAGG